ensembl:lncRNA
GGGGGGUAUAUGUGUGUGCUAGUGCCUGUGUGUGUGUGUGUGUGAGAGAGAGGGGGGGGGGAGUAUAUCCAACAGAUAUUCCCACAUUUGGUGUGUUGAUGAGGGUGGUGUUGAGCGCUGUCUAACGCGUCACUCCAAAACCCCCCCCGAGGUGUUCAGGUGUGUUGAGCGCUGUCUAACGCGUCACUCCAAAACCCCCCCGAGGUGUUCAGGUGUGUUGAGCGCUGUCUAACGCGUCGCUCCAAAACCUCCCCGAGGUGUUCAGGUGACAGCAAAGGCCAUAGCACAUGAUUCACAUCAUUGUCAUACUCAUCAAAUCAUUCGGUGACCCCUCGCGUCGGUGAC